AGGCUCGUAGCUCAUUGGUAGAGCGUCUCCCUUUUAAGGAGAGCGUAGCGGGUUCGAUUCCCGCCGGGCCUA
rnacentral:tRNA from 3 species